rnacentral:rRNA from 1 species
GCCAGUAAUAUACGCUUGUCUCAAAGGUUAAGCCCCCUUUGUCUAAGUACGAGCAACAUUAAUGUGAAACCGCAUAAGGCUCAGUAUAACAGCUAUAAUUUACAAGAUCAUCGCCAAAGUUACUUGGAUAACGGGGGAAAAUCUAGAGCUAAUACAUGCAAAAUGCCAGGACCUCGCGGAACUGGUGCACUUAUUAGAAAAACCAACCACGCGCCCCUCGCGGGGCCGUGCCUGGAGUUGAAAUCUGGAUAAUGAUGCCGAUCGUAUGGUCUCGCACCGACAACAGAUCUUUCAAAUAUCUGCCCUAUCAACUAUUGAUGGUAGUAUAAAGGACUACCAUGGUUGCAACGGGUAACGGGGAAUCGGGGUUCGAUUCCGGAAAGGGAGCCUGAGAAACGGCUACCACUUCUACGGAGGGCAGCAGGCGCGCAAAUUACCCAAUCCUGACUCAGGGAGGUGGGGACAAAUAAUAACGAUAC